CCCGCGCCUACUGGCUCGCCUCCUGGCAGCCCGUCAUUGUCGCGGUCACCAUCACCCGCCAUGUCUUCUUCUCAGGAGAUGCGGGCCUCUCCAUCGACGGUUCCUGUGACUUCGAUCGCGCCAACUGCUCCGGUUGCUCAGCGUCCACACACUCGCAGCAAGAGUGGUAUUUUUCGACCGCUCCAACGCACCGAUGGCACGGUUGCCUGGCUCGCGGCCUGUACAGCUCAUUCUGCAACUGAUCCUUCUGCUGAACCCCGUCAUUAUCAAGCAGCUCUGGGUAUUCCUCACUGGCGAUCUGCAAUGGAACAAGAGUAUCAGGCAUUGCUCAAAAAUGGUAUGUGGUGUCUUGUUCCUCCGCACAGUGGUGUCAAUAUUAUUGAUUCUAAGUGGGUAUUCAAAGUUAAGCGACAUGUUGAUGGCUCCAUUGAACGGUAUAAGGCUCGGCUUGUUGCUUGUGGGUUCAAACAACGUCAAGGUCUUGAUUAUGAUGAUACCUUCAGUCCCGUGAUCAAGCCUACGACUAUUCGCCUGCUCUUGUCUCUUGCAGUUACUCGUGGAUGGUCUCUUCGA
rnacentral:rRNA from 1 species